AGUAAAGUCAGCUAAUUAAGCUCUUGGGCCCAUACCCCAAAAAUGUUGGUUAAACCCUUCCUUUACUA
rnacentral:tRNA from 2 species